rnacentral:ribozyme from 1 species
GCUUUUGACGUGGAGUUUUCAUCCAACUCUAACAACUACAUCACUAGACAAGGCUUUGCUACUAAUAAUACGAACGGGGGCAAUGCUAGUGGCUUAAGUAGUUAUCGUAUCAGAGGAAAGGAUUUUGAGCCUCAAGUAGAAUUGAGCCCUACUACUCUUGUC